GAAAUACUCCCUCCGUCCGAAAAUACUUGUCAUCAAAAUAGAUAAAAAGAGAUGUAUCUAGAACUAAAAUAUGUCUAGAUACAUCCCCUUUUAUCCAUUUUGAUGACAAGUAUUUCCGGACGGAGGGAGUACUAG
rnacentral:pre_miRNA from 1 species